rnacentral:lncRNA from 1 species
CUGUUGUGAACCUAGCUCCUCUGAAUCCUAAUACACGCUUUGAACGGCAUAAAGAGGUAUUGUCACUGCCUCAGCCUCGUCAUUUCAUCAGAGAAAUGGACAACCAGAGGAGCAGAACAUGCCAGGUGAUGUGGGGUUUCUGAUGCUAGCAUAUUGUGCCACUGCAUACCAGCCAGCUGAGUACCUUCUAUAGAAUAAGAUUCAUGUCCCCAGCAAGCAUGCACACUGGUUUGGGCUACAUCAGCACCAAGACAGUCCCUUGGUAAUUUUCUGUUGUGCCAAGGCUACUAACAGGUAUGAACUGCACCAUGCUUGAGCAGGUCCUCCUCAACAC